GGGGAGGGACGGGGCGGUGUCGGGUCCGGGCAGCGGGAGGCUCGGUCUCUUGGUUCCUUCUUUGGAGCUGCUGGCGGGGCCGCGGCGGGCGGGCGGGUCGGGUCUCGGCUGCUUCACCGGGUUAUUUUAUAAAAGAGGAAGAAAAAAAAAUAAAAGUCUCCGGCGGGGAGACGCGGAAUUUUGUAAAUUUUUUUGGGUUUUUUUAAAAGAUUUUUUUAGAUUUUUUUUGGAUUUUUUAAUAAUAAAUGUGUGUUCCGAGCCCGGAGCACACACUCCGCACUCUCAGCACUAACCGCCGGGGAGAAGGGGAAGCACCGCCUCCUGCACCCUCUACUUAUACUCCCCGCCGCACUCGCCCCGCCCCCGCGCGUCUGACGCCAGGGCCCUACGCGAGCGUCAGCGCCGAAAGAGGAGGAGACGCGGAGGCCAGGGGGAGGAGGGAAGAGAAAACAGCAGGAAAGAGCAGAGAGGAAGGGAGAGGUGGCGGCGGCGGAGGCUGCGUUGUGGGGGUGGGGCUGGGGCGAAGGGGCGGGGCUUCUGCGCAGGCGCCGCGGCCGGGGAAGCGGAGCUCGCGCUGCGUCGCGUCCGUGGGGGAGGGGAGGGCGGCACGCGGGCGGUCCUCGGGGGUGUCGGCUGAGGCGGUCCCGCCUUCCGCCCCGCCCUCCCCCGCCUCCACCAGGAGGAGCGUUAACCCGUCACCGCGGCGGUGGGCGGUGCAAGGGGCUUCCGGGUUCCUACGCCCUAACCACCCCCCACGUGCGCGGCCGCUUGGGGCCUCUUUCCGCCGCGGCCGGCCCGGCUCCUCUCGCCCCAGCUCCGAGGGACGCUGGGCACGGACAGGAUCUUACUCUGUUGCCCAGGCUGGAAAUGCAGUGGCACGAUCUUGGCUCACUGCAGCCGCCACCUCCCAGACUCAAGUGAUCCUCCCAACUCAGCCUUCUGAAUAGCUGAGAUUACAGGUGAGUGCCACCAUGCCCAGCUAAUUUUUUAUGUUUUGUAGAGACAGGGUUUUGUUAUGUUGCUCAGACUGGUCUCAAACUCCUGGGCUCAAGCAAUCCACCCUCCUCAGCCUCCCAAAGUAUUGGGAUUACAGGCAUGAGCCACCAUGCCCAGCCUCUUUUGUCAGCUCCUAAUAAUGGCAAAUCAACAGCUUCGCUAACAUGGUGAAACCCUCUCUCUAAUAAAAAUACAAAAAUUAGCC
rnacentral:lncRNA from 1 species